rnacentral:rRNA from 1 species
CCUACGGGAGGCAGCAGUGGGGAAUCUUGCGCAAUGGGCGAAAGCCUGACGCAGCAACGCCGCGUGCGGGAAGAAGGCUUUCGGGCUGUAAACCGCUUUCAGCAGGAACGAAAAUGACGGUACCUGCAGAAGAAGGAGCGGCCAACUAUGUGCCAGCAGCCGCGGUGAUACAUAGGCUUCAAGCGUUGUCCGGAUUUAUUGGGCGUAAAGAGUUCGUAGGCGGUCGAGUAAGUCGGGUGUGAAAAUUCUGGGCUCAACCCAGAGACGCCACCCGAUACUGCUUGACUUGAGUUCGAUAGGGGAGUGGGGAAUUCCUAGUGUAGCGGUGAAAUGCGCAGAUAUUAGGAGGAACACCGGUGGCGAAGGCGCCACUCUGGAUCGAUACUGACGCUGAGGAACGAAAGCAUGGGUAGCAAACAGGAUUAGAUACCCUGGUAGUCCAUGCCGUAAACGGUGGGCACUAGGUGUGGGUUUCUAUUAACGAAAUCCGCGCCGUCGCUAACGCAUUAAGUGCCCCGCCUGGGGAGUACGGUCGCAAGCUAAAACUUAGAAUUNCGCGNGNGAGNGCGACGAGACGACGAGAGAG